AUCCCAUGGACAGAAAAGCCUGGCAGGCCACAGUCCAGGGGGUCACGCACAGUUGGACACGACUGAGCACACACACACAAUUGACAUGUAGAAUUCUGUCUAAGAAAUCCAGUUGUUUCCUCUGCUAUUACUGUGUGCAUGAACCACACAACCAUAAAUGGAAUGCUUAUUACUACCAUCUUUGGAAAACUGCAUGAACUAGGUACUGUGCAGAGUGGUUCAGAGAUUUCAUUUAACCUGUUCUGGGCUGCUAACAGAAGGGUUAAUAAGAAAGCUUCAAUUUCCUUGACCUAAAGAAUAUUUUAAAAGAUGUUUACUAUUGAAGUAGGAUCAAGUCCCGUUUGUACUAUAGGCUCCUGAAAAGAAUAAAAAAUGGAAAUUUUUGUAGGUAGUUCUGAUUACUGCCAGCUGCUUCAAGAUUAGUUUUAUGUUAAAAUCCUUAUCUCUUGUCUUUUACUUGUCAUUAUUGAAAAACAUGAUUUCUUUGAUGCUGUAAAUGUAAUUUUUUUGGCAUAGAAUUUACUCAAAGCAAAGCAGAGCCUGGUUUUGAUUUUUCUAAAUGUUCUUAACUAGGCUCAAAACAAGGGUACAUUUGUAUUUUAUACCGAGGACAAGAGUCGAUUACAGGCACUGUCUGAUGUGCCACCCUGAAGCUACUGUGACUGUCACUACUGAUGUUCAAAUCUGGAUUCUUCAUUGGAAACUUGACAGCCGGGAGUUUGAAGGAUGAGGGGUUUUGUUUAUGGCCACAAAGAAACAGGCAAGUACCUGUGGCAAUAUUGUCCUGUUUCAGACUUGGAAGUGUAGAAGUCUUCUGAUCUGCUAUGGAAACAAGGAUAUUAAAGAAUAUGAAUCAGCCAGAUGAAGAGAUAAAUAGAGUGAAGUCCUGAACAAAAGAGGUUCUAUCCCAGCGGAAUUUGGUGUCAACACGAUGGCACAUGGAAGCAUUUUGGUUCCCCAGACUGGAAACUCUUCAAACCCCCUCCUUUUGCUCUUUUCUAGAGGCUUCGCUACGUAGGGUGAUUAGUUAAAUCAUUGGUUGUUGGUGGUGGAUUCAACCUUCAGUCCUUCUCCCCUCCCUGAAAAUCAGGAGGUGGGACUGACAGUUCCAUCCCUCUAUUCAAGGUUGGGUUUCCCCGGCAACCAGCCACAUCCUUAGGUGCGUCCCACAAGUCACCUCAUUAACAUAAAGUCAGGGUCUUGUUAUGAAUAAUAAAACAAUUUCACCUUUAUGGCUCUAAAGUGAUUUCAGGGACUGAGGACAAAAGACCAAAUAUAACAGAAGAUGCCCGCAUGUCUCUUACUGCUCAGGACAUUCCAACGGUUUGGGGAGCUGUGAGCCAGGAACUGGGAAAGUUCCUGGCUUUAUUAUAAAUGUCUUUAUUAUAAAUCACAUGAGUGUUUUUCUAAAAAAGUUGUAGGGAAGGAUUUGAAGACAGCAAGAGUGGAAAGCUAUGGGUCAAAUAACCAGUGUUUUCAGGGCUAUAAUGAGAAAGUACCACCACCAGCCGGCUGGUGGGAGAUAAGGUGUGUGCUGUUUCCAGUAUUGUUUGACCAUGCAUCUCUUUCUUUGGAAUGUAUUAACAUUUUGUGAAACUAGUGUUUUUUUGAAACAUAGUUUGGAAUUACAGUGUUACAGGGUUACAGUUGUUUGUAUUUUGCUGGUCUGUAAACAAAUGUCUCUAUUACAGAGGACUGUGUAUCUCAUCCAUCUUGCUUGAUUCAAACUUUGCAGCUCAUAGAAGGGAACCACAUUUACUUUAUUUUCCAGGUCUGGAGGAGUUCUUCACAUUUGCUCCCAUGAGCUAUAGACAUGGUACAAUUAAAAUGCAUUAGUUUGUAUCUUCAUAAAAAGGAUAUGAUAUAAAUUUGAAAUGCAUGAAUAUAUGAAAUACAUAUGUUCUAAUAAGAACCCAUUUUAUCUGCUUUCUAUCAUUUGGAUUGCAUGUAAGAUUUUAUUGGCAAAACAUGGUGAUGCUACAACAAAAAUAAGUUGAAAAACUGUUGUUGGUGUUAGUAAAGUUAGUAAACUCUUACAAUUGGGGCUGUAUGGUGGAAGGUGUGAAUUCACACUUCAUUUGGUAGGCAUUUGGGGGCCACCAAAGGAUGGACAGGGAGGCCUGGCGUGCUGCGAUUCAUGGGGUCGCAAAGAGUCGGACUGAGCGACUGAACUGAACUGAAAGGUUUCUGAACAGGACAGUAGAUUUGUGUUGUUUUUUAAAAGAGCAGUCUGACAUCAGAACGAAAAAUAAGUGGUUUGGGGAGGGCAAACACUGUGGGAAGCCAGGUUAUCAGGCAGGAGGUGGGAUUACUCUGCGUUGCAACCAUCCAGGGCAGAGGACUGAAUGGGGGAUGCUUCAGGCAUCAUUUUUCAGAAUUUCUAUGUCUCACACUCCUACAUGGAGUUAUAUUUUGUAUAGGGCUGAUGUGUGGGCUUUUAGAAACAUAAAUCAAUAAUAAAAGAUCAAAAAACAGAUGCACAUGACUACACUGGAAAAUAUAAAAGCCAUAUCUGUUUCCAUAGUUGCCUUUUGACAGCGAUUGGUAAAGAACCAUUGAAUGUAUUUUCAGUCUUUGCUUAUGUCGUGGAACCUUUGUCCCUAACCCUCCUUUCCUGAGUGUAUCAUGGCAGAAGGGUUGAAUUAUGAAAUUGUGUUCUGUAAAGUGUUUGUUCAGCUUGAGUUGUUUGCUCUUUAGUUGAAUUUCCAGUGCUCUUCAUGGGAUGGUUGAACUUUCAUUAGGAGAUUUUCAAAGCCUCUAGGCCACCCAUAUCCAUUGUUUGGCAGUUGAUGGAGCAUUGUUGUACUUGCAAGGGAUCUACAAGAGGUCUAGCUAGCUUUGGUUGCUUAACACUCUGGGCUCAUAAAUCUGUAAUUUAAAUUUGGUACUUCUAUGGGGUACAGUUUUAUUCCUAAAUUUACGUGUCUGCUCCAACCCCACAAUGUGGUUUUGACUUGAGUUGUCUGGAAUCUUACCAGAGCCUCAGAGUCCAUUUUGUACAUUUCAACUAACUUUUUCCAUUUUGUUUGUUGUUGUUUAGUCACUAAGCCGUGUCCAGCUCUUU